UGCAAGUUGCUCCUGUUUAUCAUGACCCCUGUAGUGUUAGUGAUUUUGAUCCGGGUGUUAUUUGGGUUGGGUCCGUUUGACAGGAUAAGGCAUUAUCACUCGAACCAGAAGCUAUCUUUGGAUUUCUGCGAUCCAAAUGAGCAUAAAGGAUAUUUAUCAUGUAGAAAUAAUGGGACUGAAAAACGCUUCUUGGAUUCCAAGUCACCUCCAGCCAGCAGAAGUCUAUUGAAACCAAGGAUGAGUUUUGAUCAGGGUGGUAGUGUUUAUGAUGCGUCUGAUGUUGAUAACAGAUCAGAGGCCGACGAUGAGGCCAAGGAGGAGGCUGAGGAGGAGGAGGAGGAGGAGGAGUAGGUCGGGCAGAAAUCUACUGACUUCUGACCCUGACAAUAAUGAUUCCCAAAUCCGAGUCAUGUAAAUAUUUAAUGCUAGUUUUUUUAGGUUUGGUUUUUUCAUUGUUUUUGUUAGGCUUCUGGGUUACUUUGCAUGCACUAACACUUUAGAGGUUGAUCUUAGAAUUUAUGUUGCCCCUUCUUUGUUUGUGUUGAUUUAGUAGGCCUUGAUUUGUAUUUCCUCACCCUUUUUGUUUAUGUAAUUUUUGCAUUCGCAUCAUACUUUACGAUUAAUAGUUGGGUUAACAUUCACUUUGCCGAUAUGAUGUUUUUCAAAAAAAUUUACGCACCAG
rnacentral:lncRNA from 1 species